AUUGAACGCUGGCGGCAUGCUUUACACAUGCAAGUCGAACGGCAGCGCGGGUUUCGGCCUGGCGGCGAGUGGCGAACGGGUGAGUAAUACAUCGGAACGUGCCCAGUAGUGGGGGAUAGCUCGGCGAAAGCCGGAUUAAUACCGCAUACGACCUGAGGGUGAAAGCGGGGGAUCUUCGGACCUCGCGCUAUUGGAGCGGCCGAUGGCAGAUUAGCUAGUUGGUGGGGUAAAGGCCUACCAAGGCGACGAUCGGUAGCUGGUCUGAGAGGACGACCAGCCACACUGGGACUGAGACACGGCCCAGACUCCUACGGGAGGCAGCAGUGGGGAAUUUUGGACAAUGGGCGAAAGCCUGAUCCAGCAAUGCCGCGUGUGUGAUGAAGGCCUUCGGGUUGUAAAGCACUUUUGGCGGGAACGAAAAGGACUGUGCCAAUACCACGGUUCGAUGACGGUACCCGCAGAAUAAGCACCGGCUAACUACGUG
rnacentral:rRNA from 1 species